CGCGGUCCGCCCCGUCUGGUGGGGCGACGAGCCGCAUGGAGGCCGGCUGAGGAGCGCCGACCCGCCUUGGUUGAAUCCUCCUGGCUUCCGGGGUCCCCUGGAGAGGAAGAUGUCCAGGCCACCAGCUCGGCGCGCUCCUGUGCAGGCUCCACUCUCCCUGGGCCUCUCCCUUUUGCCGCUGUUGCCCCCUUGUGUGGCUGGGAGGGAGCCCUGACCUUGGGGCCACUGGUCAGCCUUACAGGAUGGCGGUGAUGUUGCAGCCAGGAGAGGGCCUGGCACGGUGGGCGGGCAGGCCCCUACACAGCGCCCUGCGGUGGAGGCUUCACUCGUCGGUGCCGGAGCCACCGCCCCGCCCCGCCAUGGAGGGCCAGGAGGAGCGGCCCCCUCGCGAGGUCAGAGCCCUGGGCUGGGGGCUGGGGGCCAGGGCGACCCCGUGGAGAGUGGGGCUCCCCCUCCGUGAGGCUCCCUGGGGUCACUCUGGCCUCUGUGCACGGAAGCCCUUCACCGGCCUUCCUGGGAUGCUGCUAGUCGGCCGAGGGGCCCAGGGCAGGGCGCCGCGAGGGUGGGCCGCCCGUGAGGAGGGUGUCUGGGGGGCACGCGGCUGACGGGCCCCGGGGUUGGUGGAGCUACCGCACGAGUCCCGGCAGGCCCCGGAGAGGUGAGGACCGCGCUCGAACGCCC